rnacentral:tRNA from 1 species
UAGAAUAUUAAGUCAAAGAAAAAAGCUUCUAACUUUUUUCUAAGCAGUUCAACUCUGUUUAUGUUCUAU